GUUCCCUCUCGUUUGCUCUCUUGCCACUACGCCUCCUUUCCGGUCUUUCUCUUGUUCACACACACUCACUCACUCACUCUCUCUCUCUCUCUCUUUCUCUCUCGCUCUCUCUCUCUCUCUCUCUCUCUCUUCACUCAUCG